CAAUGACAGUAGGCGCACGCGGCAGGUUCGACUGACGAUGUUGAUUCGCCGAUUCCUCUCCGGCCCUGCAGCUCUCUCUACAGGGAAUACACCAACGUGUUUGGACAGGUGCCCUCUAUCUGUGCAUGUUUUUGCAUCGGCACCGUGCGUGCCUUCUUUCACCGUCCACUUCCGCCUCUCCGCCACGCCUUUUCCUUGCUGGCUCUGCACAACGAACACCACCGGAGCGCCAAGUAUGACAUAGACUGAUGACGGCUGUCGGCAAACGACGCACUGGCUGCCCGCAGAGCAACAAGCAAGCAGCGCACUACUGGCAGGCAGAUGAGCCUUCUGACCGCCACACGCCUGGUUAUGAUGAGCUGCACGAGCCCGCGUUCAAAUCGCCUCUUGAGCAGACCAUCUGCUGGCCAGCAUCCGCUUAGGAACUUUAGAGCGGCGCGUUAGGAAACCUAUGCUGUUUCCCUUCGCAACUCGCUGCCGCUGUCGUGGCACAGGCUUAGCUACAGCGUUGGCAAGAAGCGCAUCCUGUGCGGGCUGACGGGGACGGCGCUGCCCGGGCGAUGCCUCGCAAUCCUCGGGUCGUCCGGUGCCGGCAAGACAACGUUCCUGAACGCGAUCUGCGACCGACUAGCGUCUGGCGGUGAGCUGAAGCUGAGCGGGAGGCGCCAGCUGGGCGACUGUGAGUUCGAGCGGCACUUUCGCAAGGCGAUGGGGUUCGUGGCGCAGGACGACAUCAUCUCGCCGCUGUCGACGCCGUACGACGCGCUGUGGUUCUCGCUGCGCACGCGGCGCGGGACGGGCCGUGCGGAGACGGAGGAGCGUGUGCAGGAGAUGCUGAGUGUCCUGCGGUUGCGGCACUGCCGCGGCACGAAGGUCGGCAUUCCCGGCCUGGAGGCUGGGCUGUCUGGUGGGGAGCGCAAGCGGUGCAGCAUCGGGAUCGAGCUGAUCUGCGACCCGAAGAUCCUGCUGCUUGAUGAGCCGACGUCUGGGCUGGACUCCGUGACGUCCGCGAAGGUGGUGCACCUGCUGCGCCAGCUGUCGCGGACCGGCCGCACUGUGAUCUACACGAUCCAUCAGCCGACUGCGGAGGUGCUGUCGUACUUCGACGACGUGAUGCUGAUGACGCAGGGCCGCAUUGCGUACCACGGGACGAUGGCUGCGUCGCUGGACUACUUCGAGUCCAUCGGGUUCCCGUGCCCGAGCAAGUACACGCCGACGGACUACUACAUGGUGCUGCUGCAGGACAGCGUGACGAGCAAGGUCCUGAUCAAGCGCUGGCGCAAGUACCUGAAGAACGGACCUCGCACGCCGCACACUGCCGCUGUGCGUUUCGCGAGGAGCCGCAGUGAGUCGUCUGCUGCACGGUUCUUGGAUGCAUACAUUGUGAAGUUCGGCAGCUCGCCGGCUGUGCAGUUGUACGAGCUGACGCGGCGCAGGAUGAUGGAGAUCUCGCGCGACUCCCUGUAUCUGUUCUCGUACACGGCGCAGGCGAUCUUCUUCGCCGUUGUUGUGGGCCUGAUCUUCAUUGUUUUUUUUUUUUUACGUAGACAGCGCCCCACUUUCCUCUUCAUUCUUCCCCAUACUCUGUCUGUGUGCUCUGUGUGGGUUGUUUGGCGCGGUGUUUCUCUCCAUGGCUGUUCAUCUGUGCUAUCGGUUCGGUGUCCCUCCCGCAUUACAGCGUGCGGGUCUCUCUCUCGUUACCUGCACUCCUACAUGAGCGGGAAGUGCAUGGACUCCAGCACGGCUCCAUGUGAACUCGCUGUUAUGUUGCGGAGGGAAGUGUGCCGGCGUGCGCCUCUGUGAAGACGAUGCCCCGCGUAGCCGAUGACGCGCAAAGUCGCACAGAGAUGCCCCCCCUCCCUCCCAUGACAGACACAGGUGGGCAGGCGUGCGGGCCGGACGACACUCACCUUCACGUCCUUCUCCAUCCCCUCCCCACGGCGUCUGUCGCGUCGGGCUCUCCUCAGGGCCCGUGACGCCUACGCCCGACUCUUUUAGCCUUUGGCGUGCUCCGGUGCGCCUAGGGAACGUGGCGUGCGGGGUCCUUCAUCACCCCCACCUUCUCUGCCUUCUCUCUGCCAGUGCGCAGGUAUCGCUGUCUCUGCGGCGGACACGGUUGCGCAUCGAGCCACGGAGCGGCUCGUUCCUUCGCACUUCUUCCGCGUUUUCUCUUGACUCACCACCGCACUUGUGGCUGCCUUCGCUGUCUCUCUCUCUCGUCUCUCUCACAG
rnacentral:misc_RNA from 1 species